GCCAGCGGCGAUAGCAUGUUGAAUACACCAGUUCUCCACAGAUCACUGAAGUUAAGCAACGUUGUGCGUGUUUGGUAUCCAGAUAGUUGACCAUCAGGGCAAUCACGUGCUGCUGGCU
rnacentral:rRNA from 1 species